UGCUAUGUUAACAUUAAACAGAGGUCUAUCAUAGAUAUUGCAAGACAUGAUAAGAUAUAUGGCAAUGAAAACAUCAAUUUGAAUAGAGAGAAAAGGCGUGACAAGAAUAAGGAAAGUAGUUUAGAAUUUACGUAUCCAUAUAGAUAUGAACAAAACCGCAACAUUUUUUUAAUUAUUAACAGUAGAAAUAUUAACUCACGUAAUAGUUAUAUAUAUAACAAUGAUAUUAUAUAUAUAAUAUUUAAUAAUAAAAAAUAUGAACAUGUUAAUAUACCUAAGAAAAAAAAAAAAAAAAAAAAAAAAAAAAUCAAAAGCGCUAGCGCUAGCAGAAACAAAAGUAAAAGUGAUUUAUACGACAAUAACGAUUCCAUUGAUUCGAAUAGUAGUUUAGAGAGUAACAAAACAAAUGAAGAACACAAUAAAAACCCUUUGUAUAAUAGUACUAUAUUUGAAACUAGUAAUACAAAUUUGUGUGAUGCGUUAGAAAAGAGAGAAAAAAAAAUAAAUAAAAAGAAUAGUAAUAGUAGUAAUAAUAAUGCUAAGAAUAGACGAACUAUAAAAAAAGAAAAAAAUAUAAUUUAUUCAGAUGAUGAUUCAGAUAAUCAUUAUGAACAUAUAUUUACACACAUAAAUUCGAGCUUAUAUUUUUUAAGUAUAUCUAAUACACAUAUAGAAAAAGAAACUAAUUUAUACAUCCAAAAUGAAAAAUAUAUUAAUUAUACAGAUAUAGCAUUUAGAAAAUUAAAAUUUAAUAAAAAAAUGUUUAUAAAUUUAGAUACAUAUAACUCUUGGGUUAUUAUAAAAAAAAAUAUUCUACUAAAUGAAUAUUUGAGUUUAUUAAAAAAAAAUAAUUUAGUUGAUAUAAAUGAUAUAAUCUACGAUUUGGUAAACAUGUCUGAUCAAAUAUGUAAUUGUCAUACUAUGAUAUAUAUAAAUGACGAUUUUCUAUUAAUUAAUAAUAAAACUAAAGAAAUAUUGGGUGUUAAAAAAAUUGACGAAACUGCUAAUAGUAAUAGUAGUAAUAACAACAACAACAACAUCAAUGAAAGGAGUACUAACAAUGAACAUACCGACAAUAUAAAUGAAAAAAAACAAAAAAAAAAUGUAUACAUAAACAAAAAUGAGAAAAAUAAUUGUAAUAAUAAUAGCGAA
rnacentral:lncRNA from 1 species